rnacentral:rRNA from 1 species
CGCCAGCCCGCUCAGAAACUUAAAGGAAGUUGACGGGGGCCCGCACAAGCGGUGGAGCAUGUGGUUUAAUUCGAUGAUACGCGAGGAACCUUACCUGGGCUCAAAUGUAUGUUGACGUAUUCUGAAAGGGAUACUUCUUCGGACAAUAUACAAGGUGCUGCAUGGUUGUCGUCAGCUCGUGCCGUGAGGUGUCGGGUUAAGUCCCAUAACGAGCGCAACCCCUAUCAUUAGUUGCCAUCAGGUCAAGCUGGGGACUCUAAUGAAACUGCCUACGCAAGUAGUGAGGAAGGCGGGGAUGACGUCAAAUCAGCACGGCCCUUACGUCCAGGGCUACACACGUGCUACAAUGGCCGAUACAGAGGGCAGCUACCUGGUGACAGGAUGCAAAUCUCCAAAGUCGGUCUCAGUUCGGAUCGGAGUCUGCAACCCGACUCCGUGAAGUUGGAUUCGCUAGUAAUCGCGCAUCAGCCAUGGCGCGGUGAAUACGUUCCCGGGCCUU